rnacentral:rRNA from 1 species
AGAUUGAACGCUGGCGGCAUGCCUUACACAUGCAAGUCGAACGGCAGCACGGGUGCUUGCACCUGGUGGCGAGUGGCGAACGGGUGAGUAAUAUAUCGGAACGUACCCUAGGAGUGGGGGAUAACGCAGCGAAAGUUGCGCUAAUACCACAUACGAUCUACGGAUGAAAGUGGGGAUCGCAAGACCUCAUGCUCAGUGGAGCGGCCGAUAGUCUGAUUAGCGUAGUUGGUAGGGGUAAACGCCUACCAAGGCAUCGAUCAGUACGCGUGGUCGUGAGGAGGACGACC